AUUGAACGCUGGCGGCAUGCCUUACACAUGCAAGUCGAACGGCAGCAUGGGAGUAAUCCUGGUGGCGAGUGGCGAACGGGUGAGUAAUGUAUCGGAACGUGCCCAAUCGUGGGGGAUAACGCAGCGAAAGCUGUGCUAAUACCGCAUACGAUCUAUGGAUGAAAGCGGGGGAUCGCAAGACCUCGCGCGAUUGGAGCGGCCGAUAUCAGAUUAGCUAGUUGGUGGGGUAAAAGCUUACCAAGGCGACGAUCUGUAGCUGGUCUGAGAGGACGACCAGCCACACUGGAACUGAGACACGGUCCAGACUCCUACGGGAGGCAGCAGUGGGGAAUUUUGGACAAUGGGCGCAAGCCUGAUCCAGCAAUGCCGCGUGCAGGAUGAAGGCCUUCGGGUUGCAAACUGCUUUUGUACGGAGCGAAAAGGCUCUCUCUAAUACAGGGGGCUCAUGACGGUACCGUAAGAAUAAGCACCGGCUAACUACGUGCCAGCAGCCGCAGUAA
rnacentral:rRNA from 1 species